AUUGAACGCUAGCGGGAUGCUUUACAUAUGCAAGUCGAACGAGCGGCGGACGGGUGAGGAAUGUAUGGGGACUGCCCGAUAGAGGGGGAUAACUACUGGAAACGGUAGCUAAUACCGCAUACUAUCGGAUAACCCAUAUGGGAUUAGCUAGUAGGUGAGGUAAUUGCUCACCUAGGCGACGAUCCCUAGCUGGUCUGAGAGGAGGAUCAGCCCAACGGGGACUGAGACACGGCCCCGACGCCUACGGAGGCAGCAUUGGGGAAUAUUGCACAAUGGGCGCAAGCCGGAUGCAGCCAUCCCGCGUGUAUGAUGAAGGCCUUCGGGUUGUAAAGUACUUUUGGCAGAGAAGCGGUAUCUGCAGAAUAAGCACCGGCUAACUACGUGCCAGCAGCCGCGGUAAUAC
rnacentral:rRNA from 1 species